rnacentral:rRNA from 1 species
GAUGAACGCUGGCGGCGUGCCUAAUACAUGCAAGUCGAGCGAACAGACGAGGAGCUUGCUCCUCUGACGUUAGCGGCGGACGGGUGAGUAACACGUGGAUAACCUACCUAUAAGACUGGGAUAACUUCGGGAAACCGGAGCUAAUACCGGAUAAUAUAUUGAACCGCAUGGUUCAAUAGUGAAAGACGGUUUUGCUGUCACUUAUAGAUGGAUCCGCGCCGCAUUAGCUAGUUGGUAAGGUAACGGCUUACCAAGGCAACGAUGCGUAGCCGACCUGAGAGGGUGAUCGGCCACACUGGAACUGAGACACGGUCCAGACUCCUACGGGAGGCAGCAGUAGGGAAUCUUCCGCAAUGGGCGAAAGCCUGACGGAGCAACGCCGCGUGAGUGAUGAAGGUCUUCGGAUCUUAAAACUCUGUUAUUAGGGAAGAACAAAUGUGUAAGUAACUAUGCACGUCUUGACGGUACCUAAUCAGAAGGCCACGGCUAACUACGUG